UUCUCUCUAAAGGAAAGUAUGAAUAUGAUAUGUUUGUUACCCACCUUCUUCCUCAGACCUAAGACUUGUGAGUUGUGGAAUACUGGAUUCAUCAUUAUCAUUAUGAUUAAUUAGUAAGCCUACAUAUUUUAAUUUUUUAAUUUCACUCAUAUAAUUUUCAUUACUCGAAAGAUAAGAGGUGUGAGCUUGAGAAAAAAUGGCGGCUCUCCCCAAAGAAAUAAUCACUGAAAUACUCUCUCGACUACCAGUUAAAUCCCUUCUUCGCUUUACAUCAGUUUGCAAAUCCUGGUAUUUCUUAAUCAAAAACCCUAAUUUUGCUAAACUUCAUCUUAAUCAAUCCCUGAUUUCCCAAUCUAAUCGUCAUCUCAUCCUUUUUCAUCACUCUCUUUACUUUUCCCAAAUUGAUCUCGACUCUAAUCAUCUCUCUUUCUUGAAGAUCAAUCACCCUUUAGAUCACCAAAAAACAAUAGUUCUAGGUUCCUGUAAUGGCGUCACUUGCAUCUCCAAUUUCUCUAAAUCCGAAUUUUUCUUAUUCAAUCCCCUUACUAAAUCACAUCGUAAACUCCCCAGUAUUCCAAUUCAAGAUCCGAAAGAUGAGGUUAUAUUUGGAUUUGGGUAUGAUAGCAAGAAUGACGAUUACAAGGUUUUGAGGAUGCUAGAGGGUUAUAAUUAUAAAACUGACGAGAUUUUUUACAAUGAGGCAAAAGUUUAUAGCCUCAACAAUCACUCAUGGAAAACGGUUGAUGCUCUCCCGUAUUAUCUGUUUUACAAAAAUUUUUAUGGUGCUCUUGUUAAUGAGAAUCUGCAUUACAGUGUAUUAGUUGAACAGAUAUUGGAUUCUGAAUAUAUGUCUAUUGCUAGGUUUGAUCUUCAGACUGAAAGGUUCUCACUUAUGAGCUAUCCAAUUGAUAUUUAUGGUGAUAUAUUUAAGAGCGGUUUGAUGCUUGUUUUGGGUCAAUUAGAUGGUUGUUUGUGUUUAAUGGUUAAUUAUCAAACCAUUGAUCUUGGUGGUCUUCUUCCAUUGCCUACUAAUGAGGUACAAGGUCCUUUACUCAAACGGGUCGAUUUGUGGGUGAUGAAGGAGUAUGGAAAGGAAGAUUCAUGGGUUAGAUUGUUUAGUAUAUGCCAACCUGAAUCUAUUGGGUGUUAUAUACAUGUUCUCCCUCUUGUUUAUUCUGGGGAUGGGAGAAGAAUUUUGUUAGAUCUUGAUGCUCUAAGAUUUGGGUGGUAUGAUUUGGUGUCAAAUAGUGUUGACGAAAUAAUAGCUGAUGGGUUGCCCUUGGGAUAUUUGGAAUCAAGUUUCUUUGUUGGCAGCCUUGUUUGUGUUUCACUUCAAGAUAAGCUGUCUCUUAAAAAGAAAACCUUGCCAAAGAAGAACAAAAAGAAGUAUUUUCUUUUACCAUCAUCUUGAUUGCCUUUCAUUUCUCCAAAUACAAAUACAUAUGUUUUGCUCAUUAUGUGUAUCUUUGUGUGGCUGGUUUGGUUUAUGUCAGGAGUGUAUAUUAUUGUUGAGAUACUUGUUAAACUUUUAUUAAUGCAUUUCAACUGCAAUAAUAGUGUUUUAUUUACAUUGUUUAAAUGUGAGUUAUGUUUUCCGGCAAAGACUAUCACCAAUGUUGCCUCAGUUUCAGCUAAGUGGAGAUUUAUUUUUGUUGAAUGUUGUUCAGGCUAUGAUCAUAUAGUCACUUUAUCUAGGGUAUGAUAGUAUAUCUUUAUUGAAGAUUGAGUGUUUGGACACUUAGUUGGGCAAGCAAUGGCUUGCAUUGAUGAAGGCUUGAAUGGACAAGUAAAGGCUACUUGAGCCAUGAUGAUGAAACUGACAAGCACGAUGCUUGCAGAGAUGUGGGCAAGUGCAUGGGCGAGAAAGGGCAUAAUAUGAUGAGGGAGCUCUGCUUGGGGGUGAGCAUUUAAGUAGAACUAAGGCAGUAGCUGCAUGUGGUGACUGCUAGCAGAUAAAAGCGAGCACUUGGGAGAGCUUCUCGCUUGCUCAGAGAGCAUGUUGUGUCAGGACCUCAUUUUGGCGAUUUACAGGCCAAUGAUUUUGGGACUCCGAAGUUUUGCAAGGGGAAGAGUACAAACAUUCUCAUAUUGGUUGUUUAACAAUAUACAUAGAGAGCUUGUAUUGCAAGAAAACUUCAUUUGGAAUGAUUUGGACCAUUUUCUUUCUGUGGGGUUCAAGCUGAGGUUGUGAUCUUAUGACCAGUCUUGAAGCUGCUACUUUUGCAUCGUAAGUUGCUUUAAUAAACUAUACAGGAUUGUGCUUACCUUAUUUCUUCACCUUAUUUCUUCAAAAUCAUACGUAUUAACUCUUCCUUUUAAAAAACUUUGUUGUCUUUUGCUGCUUUUUGCCCUCUUGAUCUGAGAGAAUACCUCUGUGGUUAUGAUGUUAACAAUUUUAAACUGUGCAUCUUCAAUUAUUUAAAGCAAUUUAAUAACGAUUAUAAGCUACUAUCCGUUGCCCUCCCCUCGACACGUCCCUUAAUAAUGUACAAAAAGAAAAGAAAUUACACAGAGAAGAAGAAUUUGGGGGGGAUCAGACUAAUAGUCAUAGUGAAAUGAGGAUGGGAAGAUAGUUAAGAAUCAUAUUCUGUAGAGAAGGAAGACUGUGGUUUUUAAAAUUGUUCAAGAGAUGCAUUGCAAGGGUUUCUAUCCUAGUUUUUUAUAUUUCAAUAGUAAUCAAUGUUUCUUGUAAAUCCUAUUUAUCAUCAAAUCGUGCUUGCCACGUGACCUGUUGAAGUAUAGUAGAUUGACUCAAAUCGUGCUUGCCACGUGACCUGUUGAUGAAAUUAUAGUAGAUUGAUUCAAAUCGUGCUUGCCAUGUGACCUGUUGUAAUUAUAGUAGAUUGACUGACAAUUAUUGUGUCUGUUUUGCUUACGCUCUAAGGUUUGAUGUGCUUGACUUGAUUGUCUUACUAGUUAGUAGCACAUCGUAGUGAUUAAUGUAUGCAUAUGAUGCUUUCUUGCUGAACCAGUAUGUAUACGAAGUGUUUAUGAAUGUGUUUAAGUGUAUAAAAUGUGUGUUUUCGUGUUGUUUCAUGCUUAGGACUUGGGGAUCCACUAGCUGUACAGCUUGUAAUGAAGAAAAUUAUAGUUAUCCAGGAGUUAAGCUGUAUUUUAUUGCUCGAGGGAAGUUAACCUUAUGCUAGGUGAUAAUGAUUAGGUCACUAGUAAAAAAAAGGUCAUUUGCAACGCCCUAUUAGUAUUGGUUUUUAAUACAAAAGAUACAAAUAAGACUUUUUGUAUCAUUGGUUUUAACUGAAAGAUACAAAUAAUGGUCAUUUGUAUCUUGUGUUUAAACAAACGAUACAAAUACUAGUUAUUUGUAUCAUGUGUUUAAACCCUCGAUACAUAUACUAGUUAUUUGUAUCUUGUGUUUCAACCCACAAUACAAAUACUGCUUUCACUAAAACAUAUUGUUCAGUCAGCCCAAAAGUCUUCAUUGAAAAACCUAAUCCAAACCAAUCGCCAAACCCUUUCUCCUUCUCUGAUCCUCUCACCACCCACAAUCCUUCAGUGAUCCUUUCACUGAAAUCUUCAAAUUUGUUUAAGAAGAACAACCCAUGGCCAUGGCGUGGAAUCGUCAUCCUACUGGUGGGUUUCAUACCCUCGUUGAUUUGAAUCGUCGCUCGAGCCCUAAUUCUAAUAAUGACUCUGAUAAUGCUCCUCAGUGAUAUUAAAAUAGUGGCGAGAAAAGGUUCUCUUUUUCAUUUUUUUUGCUUUUUAUUUGUGAACACAUGACAUUUUAUUGUCUAACUUUGAUUUUUUGGUUAUGAUUUUCAUAUACUUUGGGGUUUUAAGGAUUGCCCAUUUUGAUUAAUCUCAUUUUGUGGUGAUUUAGUUGUGAAAAUUAUAGCCCUUUUGUGAGUUUUGUGAUUGUUCCAUUGAAUUUUGAUGUAGAUUUUGGUGAUUCAGAUCUUAUUAUUUAGGGAAAAUUGUUAAAAUAAACCAAUCUUUACUCGAUCUACUAAAAAUAAACCCAACUAUUGAUUAUUUUUAGAUAAAUCCACCUAUUUAGUAUAAUUGCUGAAAAUAAACUCAACUAUUGUUUAUUCAUAAUUGCUUGAUCACAAAGAAACUUUGAAGAUGCUUAUAAACGAUAGAUGAGUUUUAGCAAAUAUAUCUAAUAGGUGGGUUUAUUUAAAACUAAAUAAUAUGUGAGUUUAUUUUCAGCGGAUCAAGCAAAGGUUGGUUUAUUAUUAACAAUUUUCUCUAUUAUUUAAUACUAAUUUUUUUUGCCAAAUUGAAGAUUGGAAAUUUAGGAAUUGGUGUGAUAAUAGUUGGAAAAUUGUUUAAAAGCAACAAAUCAAUUAGUAUGACCAUUUUUUCGCCAUCUUAUUCAUCCAUUUGCUUACGAUUUUCCUCUUUACUCGAGGAUUUCUUCUCACUCGAAGUGAACUUCCUCAUUUUACCAAAUGUUCAGAUGUUUCUCAGGCUCCUUGAUUUAUUACUUCAUCAGCAUUUUCUUUGAAUUCUUUGCAAGGAAAAAUUCAGCUUGUUGGGCUAAGGUAAUGGAUUGACUUGUUAUUAUUGCUUUUGAUGCAUUAAGGUAAUUUAUUGACUAAUUUGUAGUGUUAUUAUCUUUAUAGAACUUAGAAGCUAAGUAUUUGAAUUUAUGGCCUUGCCAAAGUUUUGAUUUUGGAGAACAAUUUUCUUUGUUUUGAUUGGUUUCAGGUUUGAUUUUGCAGCUCCAAGUAGCUUCUUUUUAGGUAAAAAGAUGGAAGGGGUUAGCUUUUGAAGAUGUACCUUGUUCGUGUUAUGUGUGUGUAUGUAAAAUAGCACGAGAACUUAUGUAAAGUGUGCAUGUACUACACCUACAUGAUUGUAUUUUUGUAAUUACAAGAACUUAGCACUUGUAAUGGAAUACAGAAUACUAGAUUGGGUAUUGUAUUGAGGUUUGGUUUAA